rnacentral:misc_RNA from 1 species
GAUGAAGAACGUAGCGAAAUGCGAUACGUAAUGUGAAUUGCAGAAUUCAGUGAAUCAUCGAGUCUCUGAACGCACAUUGCGCCCCCUGGUAUUCCGGGGGGCAUGCCUGUCCGAGCGUCAUUGCUGCCCUCAAGCACGGCUUGUGUGUUGGGCCUCCGUCCUCCUCCCGGGGGACGGGCCCGAAAGGCAGCGGCGGCACCGCGUCCGGUCCUCGAGCGUAGGGGGCUUCGUCACCCGCUCUUGUAGGCCCGGCCGGCGCUUGCCGACACAUCAAUCUUUUUUCCAGGUUGACCUCGGAUCAGGUAGGGAUACCCGCUGAACUUAAGCAUAUCAAUAAGCGGAGGA